UCCAACUGGACCUGGAUGCUAAUGGGAAC
rnacentral:piRNA from 1 species